rnacentral:rRNA from 1 species
AACAUCUUUUCUUGUUAGUCUCUGAAGUAUGGCCUGCCCGCUGACGUUUUUUAGUUGAAGGGCCGCGGUAUUUUGACCGUGCAAAGGUAGCAUAGUCAUUAGUUCUUUAAUUGUGAUCUGGUAUGAAUGGCUUGACGAGACAUGGGCUGUCUUGGAUUAAGUGAAUUUAUUGUUGAAUUUGGACUUUAGGUUAAAAUUCUUAGAUGUUUUUAUGGGACGAGAAGACCCUAUAGAGUUUGACAUUUGAUUGUGUAUUUCUUAUUGUUUGUUUUAAAUUUUUUCGUAUCUUUUGUUUUGUUGGGGUGAUGGGAGGAAUUUAUUUAACUCCUCUUUUAUGUGGUAUAUUGAUUUGUAUUAGUUUUGAUCCAUUUAUUUUGAUUGUAAGAUUAAAUUACCUUAGGGAUAACAGCGUUAUCUUCCUUGAGAGUUCUUAUUGGCGGGGGGGUUUGCGACCUCGAUGUUGGAUUAAGGUUAAUUUUUGGUGUAGGAGC